UUAACCGGAUUAGAUACCCUGGUAGUCCACGCCGUAAACGAUGUCUACUUGGAGGUUGUGGCCUUGAGCCGUGGCUUUCGGAGCUAACGCGUUAAGUAGACCGCCUGGGGAGUACGGUCGCAAGAUUAAAACUCAAAUGAAUUGACGGGGGCCCGCACAAGCGGUGGAGCAUGUGGUUUAAUUCGAUGCAACGCGAAGAACCUUACCUACUCUUGACAUCCAGAGAACUUUUCAGAGAUGGAUUGGUGCCUUCGGGAACUCUGAGACAGGUGCUGCAUGGCUGUCGUCAGCUCGUGUUGUGAAAUGUUGGGUUAAGUCCCGCAACGAGCGCAACCCUUAUCCUUGUUUGCCAGCGAGUAAUGUCGGGAACUCCAGGGAGACUGCCGGUGAUAAACCGGAGGAAGGUGGGGAUGACGU
rnacentral:rRNA from 1 species